rnacentral:rRNA from 1 species
AGCGAACGCUGGCGGCAGGCCUAACACAUGCAAGUCGAACGAACUCUUCGGAGUUAGUGGCGGACGGGUGCGUAACACGUGGGAACGUGCCUUUUGGUUCGGAAUAACUCAGGGAAACUUGUGCUAUAACGAAAGGUGCCCUCCGGGGGAAAGAUUUAUCGCCAUUAAGGGGGCCCGCUUCUGAUUGGGUAGUUGUGGAGGUAACGGCUCACCAAGCGGAGGAUCAGCAGCUGGUCUGAGAGAAUGACCAGCCACACUGGGACUGAGACACGGCCCAGACUCCUACGGGAAGCAGCAGUGGGGAAUCUUGCGCAAUGGGCGAAAGCCUGACGCAGCCAUGCCGCGUGAAUGAUGAAGGUCUUAGGAUUGUAAAAUUCUUUCACCGGGGACGAUAAUGACGGUACCCGGAGAAGAAGCCCCGGCUAACUUCGUG